GCAGAGCAUCCUACGGGAGGCAGCAGUGGGGAAUAUUGCACAAUGGGCGCAAGCCUGAUGCAGCCAUGCCGCGUGUAUGAAGAAGGCCUUCGGGUUGUAAAGUACUUUCAGCAGUGAGGAAGGUGGGUAUGUUAAUAGCAUACUCAUUUGACGUUAGCUGCAGAAGAAGCACCGGCUAACUCCGUGCCAGCAGCCGCGGUAAUACGGAGGGUGCGAGCGUUAAUCGGAAUUACUGGGCGUAAAGCGCAUGCAGGUGGUUUGUUAAGUCAGAUGUGAAAGCCCGGGGCUCAACCUCGGAAUUGCAUUUGAAACUGGCAAACUAGAGUACUGUAGAGGGGGUAGAAUUUCAGGUGUAGCGGUGAAAUGCGUAGAGAUCUGAAGGAAUACCGGUGGCGAAGGCGGCCCCCUGGACAGAUACUGACACUCAGAUGCGAAAGCGUGGGGAGCAAACAGGAUUAGAUACCCCUGGUAG
rnacentral:rRNA from 1 species